CUCAGUAACACGUGGAUAACCUGCCCUUAGGACUGGCAUAACCCCGGGAAACUGGGGAUAAUUCCGGAUAGUUCAUGGUAGCUGGAAUGCUCCAUGAUCGAAAGCUAUUGCGCCUAAGGAUGGGUCUGCGGUCUAUCAGGUAGUAGUGGGUGUAAUGUACCUACUAGCCGACGACGGAUACGGGUUGUGGGAGCAAGAGCCCGGAGAUGGAUUCUGAGACAUGAAUCCAGGCCCUACGGGGCGCAGCAGGCGCGAGAACUUUACAAUGCGGGAAACCGCGAUAAGGGGACACCGAGUGCCAGCAUCUUAUGUUGGCUGUCCGCAUGUAUAAAUCACAUGUGUUAGCAAGGGCCGGGCAAGACCGGUGCCAGCCGCCGCGGUAACACCGGCGGCCCGAGUGGUGGCCACUAUUAUUGGGUCU
rnacentral:rRNA from 1 species